GACGAACGCUGGCGGCGUGCUUAACACAUGCAAGUCGAACGGAAAGGCCCUGCUUUUGUGGGGUGCUCGAGUGGCGAACGGGUGAGUAACACGUGAGUAACCUGCCCUUGACUUUGGGAUAACUUCAGGAAACUGGGGCUAAUACCGGAUAGGAGCUCCUGCUGCAUGGUGGGGGUUGGAAAGUUUCGGCGGUUGGGGAUGGACUCGCGGCUUAUCAGCUUGUUGGUGGGGUAGUGGCUUACCAAGGCUUUGACGGGUAGCCGGCCUGAGAGGGUGACCGGCCACAUUGGGACUGAGAUACGGCCCAGACUCCUACGGGAGGCAGCAGUGGGGAAUAUUGCACAAUGGGCGGAAGCCUGAUGCAGCAACGCCGCGUGCGGGAUGACGGCCUUCGGGUUGUAAACCGCUUUCGCCUGUGACGAAGCGUGAGUGACGGUAAUGGGUAAAGAAGCACCGGCUAACUACGUGCCAGCAGCCGCGGUGAUACGUAGGGUGCGAGCGUUGUCCGGAUUUAUUGGGCGUAAAGGGCUCGUAGGUGGUUGAUCGCGUCGGAAGUGUAAUCUUGGGGCUUAACCCUGAGCGUGCUUUCGAUACGGGUUGACUUGAGGAAGGUAGGGGAGAAUGGAAUUCCUGGUGGAGCGGUGGAAUGCGCAGAUAUCAGGAGGAACACCAGUGGCGAAGGCGGUUCUCUGGGCCUUUCCUGACGCUGAGGAGCGAAAGCGUGGGGAGCGAACAGGCUUAGAUACCCUGGUAGUCCACGCUGUAAACGGUGGGUACUAGGUGUGGGGUCCAUUCCACGGGUUCCGUGCCGUAGCUAACGCUUUAAGUACCCCGCCUGGGGAGUACGGCCGCAAGGCUAAAACUCAAAGGAAUUGACGGGGCCCCGCACAAGCGGCGGAGCAUGCGGAUUAAUUCGAUGCAACGCGUAGAACCUUACCUGGGUUUGACAUGGAUCGGGAGUGCUCAGAGAUGGGUGUGCCUCUUUUGGGGUCGGUUCACAGGUGGUGCAUGGCUGUCGUCAGCUCGUGUCGUGAGAUGUUGGGUUAAGUCCCGCAACGAGCGCAACCCUUGUUCACUGUUGCCAGCACGUUAUGGUGGGGACUCAGUGGAGACCGCCGGGGUCAACUCGGAGGAAGGUGGGGGUGACGUCAAGUCAUCAUGCCCCUUAUGUCCAGGGCUUCACGCAUGCUACAAUGGCUGGUACAGAGAGUGGCGAGCCUGUGAGGGUGAGCGAAUCUCGGAAAGCCGGUCUCAGUUCGGAUUGGGGUCUGCAACUUGACCUCAUGAAGUCGGAGUCGCUAGUAAUCGCAGAUCAGCAACGCUGCGGUGAAUACGUUCCCGGG
rnacentral:rRNA from 1 species